rnacentral:rRNA from 1 species
CUCGUAGGCGGUUCAACAAGUCGGUCGUGAAAGCCCGGGGCUCAACCCCGGGACGCCGGUCGAAACUGUUGUGACUAGGGUCCGGUAGAGGUGAGUGGAAUUCUCGGUGUAGCGGUGGAAUGCGCAGAUAUCGAGAGGAACACCAGUAGCGAAGGCGGCUCACUGGGCCGGUACCGACGCUGAGGAGCGAAAGCAUGGGGAGCGAACA